rnacentral:lncRNA from 1 species
AUACUAAGUGACAAGUGUAGGUGAUUGUUAGAGAACAACUAGAACUAAGCAUGACCAUAUGAGAGAUCACAUGAAUUUUUACUCAAUCGUCAGUGAUUAUCUCGAUGCUGUAGUUAUGUGAAUGAUCUUUUGAUCUGUGAUGGUAUGGCUACUCAUAGUGUGACUACUAAAAUUUGACUGACAUAUAAACAUGGCCUUUUUGAGUCGUUGUAGUGGAUAUUGGCGAUAAUUAGUCCACUAUAAUAGUAGGAUGUGCAUCUAGAUGGAUCUAUCGAUCUUGAUAGAAAGAAGUAGUCCUAUGAGAUUUAAGAAGCUAAGUCCAUAAGUUUGUGGCCACAGUAAUAUGAUUGAUAGAAAAGAGUUUUCAUGAGAAUCACAAUUGAACUUGAGCUAAUCAAAUCUAUCAUAUGACUGAUGAUGAGGUUUGACGAUUUAUUUAUAACCUGCCAUCUAGUUGGGACUCACGAUAGAGGGACUAAAUCACAUGAAAACUAUACCUUAAGGUUCUAUUUUGAUUCUAUUGGAUUAUCACUAUAUACUGCUAGGUAUUGCUAGA